rnacentral:lncRNA from 1 species
UUAAAGAGAAAAUUACAAACCAUAAGCAAAACAAUGAAUAAAUGAUCAAGAAAAAUAUAAAGUCUCAAAUAUUAUUCAUGAAUGGAUUUCAAAAGUUGGAUGCAAAAAGGUUUGAGAAUGAUUAAAAAGUAAAUUGCAAAAAGAAACUAAAAAGAAAAAUGAAAUAAAAAAUAACCAAAAAAUGAAAAAAUAAUUUUAAAAAUGUGAGAAAAAUGUAUGUGAUGCAAAAUAUUUUUAGAGACUUUGUGUAAAAAAUUUGGGUCAAAUUGAAUUAAAAUUGAGGGAGAAGUUAAUUGGAAAAGAAAUGAAAGAGAAAAAAAUAGGUGCCAACGGUCAAGAAAUCCAAAAAAAAACAGGUUGGCACAAUGUGAUUGGUUGAGUUUGAAUCUUGGCAUCAAAACGCAUGCAGUUCAACUUCGUCUUCAACCUUGAGCUCGAUUUCUGCAAAUCACGAACUCGUGUUUUUAGCAACACCCAAGCAUGGAGUUAGUUUCUCAACACAUCAUCGUUCAUGUCUCCCUACAUCGGAGUCAUUGAUUGGCUCUGAGUAAG